GGGGCCAACCCAUGAACUCAGUUGGGAUCCAUAAAUGGAAGAAGUUUGAGAACAACUUCCAACAUCAUCCUUGCCACAUCCAGAUCUGAAAGAGCCGGAUGCUAUGGUCCCUGAUUUUUCCAAAGACUUAGGCAGGUCAAAUAACUCCUUUUGAACCUGAUCAGACGUGUGAAGAAGGCGAUAGGUAGGAGAAGCACUAGGAACAGAGGAGCUACUGAUCUUUGUUAAUGUUGUCUUGCAAGAGACAUUUUCAUCUGAGCUCUGCUUGGCAGCAGAAUAAGCCCUAGAUACCACAGCAUCUAAAAGAUGAUCAGUACCCAUGCCAGAGAAAACACAACUAUCAGAUAUUCCUUGAUUAACUGAGAAAAGAUCAGAACUGGCUUC
rnacentral:misc_RNA from 1 species